AUGGCCACCUUCAGCCAUGUUUAUGGGACAGACCUGAGAGUUUACUGCAGCAGAGACCCCCCCAGCUUCAGCUCAGAGACAGAAGUCUUCCAGAGGGUCCAACAGCUGCUGCUGGCCUGCAGCACGGAGCUGGAAAUGCUGAAGGAAGCGUCAGAAGCUUCUGAGUCCGUGAGCGAGGAGGUGAAGCAGCUUCAAACGCAGCCUCGGUACUGGAGCCGAGCAGAGAAGCACACGUUACCUGAUCAACUGGAGAAGGUUAUCGGGCGAAUUGGAGGCUUUCUGUCUCAGCUUAGUUUAUAA
rnacentral:lncRNA from 1 species